rnacentral:lncRNA from 1 species
AAAAAAUUUCAAGGAAUCAUAACUUUCUUGUACGGCAACGAAAUCACGCACGGUCGAAUCCUAUGUAUUCGUAGCGAAGCGCUCUUCAAAUUGAUACCAAACCCAUAUGCUGGAAUCAAACGUGCCCAUAUUUUGAACCCUAGAAGCUUCGACGGCUUUUGUGGGUUUUUCGCCGAUUCCGGCUAACCUCGCCGGAGAUAGGUCUUGACCCAAGAGGGAAUAAUACUCCUCUCUUCAUACGCUUCCAGGAUAUGUAAGUGGAUCUUCCGAAUUUCAAAUUUUAUUUUUCCACAAGUUUGAGAUUUAUUUGUUUAACUUGAAUUUCUGGUGUUCUUGAUGGGGAGUUAUGGUGAUAACAUUGAUUCAAGAGCUUAGUAGCUAAGUGGAGAUUGAUGAACGACUUUGGAGGGCAGGACAAGAACAAGAAAUGGUACAUACUUUAAUUUUAUUGAAUUGUUUGUAGACUUUGGCUAAAAGAGGAAGAAUUAAGCAUGUUAUAGGUAAGCUAACACAUUGAAAUAGAAGUUAAAUAUGAUUCCUUGAUAGUUUGGGAAGUGCUCUGAAAUUGUAAAUUUGAUUAAACGAGUAUGGGUUCUAAAUUACAGGAAACUUAUUCAUUUUGCGGAGAGAAACUAUGUUUCAUGUAGCCUACUUUGGCUCUUGAUUUCCAUGUCCUUGGGAGUUCCUUUUGAUCUAAUAUUAUGUGUUUUGGAAAUAAACAUGUCCAUGAUCAAAACCCAUCUGAUUUCACUUAACUGCGUUGAGUCUUGAUAGAUUAAAAUCAUGUCCAAAGUUGAGUCACAGGGCUGCCAGGCAGCAACAAGUUCUGUAAUUCCAGUUUUGGAACUUCAUUUCAUAGUUAUAACUUACCAUUCAAAGUUCCGUUUGCUACCAAUAUUUUAUGAUUUCAAAGUGCACAAAACAAGCCUCCAAAAACCAUUUAAGUUUGUACCAUUUGGUUCAGGUUUGAGCUUUCAAAGUAACUUGGUUGAUCGAAGCAGUUUUUAUGCAACUUUUGUGGAGAAAAUGAGUGUUUAUUUCUACAUUAUCCAAUUCUUCUCCGAGUUUUUCCUUUAAAGUGCUUUUGCUUUGUACUAGUAUCGUUAUUUGAAGUAUAUAUUGUACUAAAAUAAUGUAUAUGUUACGUGGUAAAAAAAUGGAUAUAUGAUAUUACUUUGGCUGCUAGUUGAUUUAUUUCAAAUGGAAGAAAGGAUCAAGGAAUAACUACUUCACUUGUGGUCAACCUGUAGCUUGCAUAUAAGGGUAAACAUUUCAAAUUUCUUCAUUCUUCUAAUGACUGAAUAUAGGUUGUUAUAUACAAAAUUAAUAUGGUUUAUGGUUCAGAAAAGUAGAAAGCCUGAAUUAGAGCGAAACCCAAUGGCUCCUCCUAUUUUGGUUCAUUGCGUUAUAUAUAUACAACAUGAUAGGUGAUUAGUAUAAUAGGUAUUUACAAUAAGAAGUAUAUACCUCUUGGUUUUUAUGUUUGGAGGUCGAGAUACAAAAGGAUGUAUAAGACAUCUGGUUAUCAUUUAAUUAAUUUCAAAGGAUAGCAUACUUUUAUCUAACUUUUACAUUUUCCAUGCUACUAAAAUUGUACUUGUUCAAAUGUAUGGGUGACUAGAUAUUGGUAGUCAAGAGGAAUCGGCAAAAUGUAUAUUUGGAUGUGUAUUGAACUUGUUGUGAAGUGCUUGUUGAAUUGUUUGAUGAAAUGUGAUUUGACGUGCAUAAUUGAAUUGUAGUUUGAUUCACAUGAUUGGUAUAGUGUGAUGAAAUGUGAGGGCUAGAAGUGGACCGUUAACCAUUGUGAUGGGGAUUUGUUGCUUCGAUAUUGUUUCAUUUUCCUCUACGUUGAUUAGUUCUAAAUUUAGUAAUUGUGUCUAACUUCCCUUUGUUGAGCUUUUGUAAAUUAAGUAACCUUUGCUUGUCUCAUUUCUUUGAGUCGCCGUACAUUAUGGUGUUGGCCUUCCACGAUUCCGUUGAGUGACGGUCCGGAAUCGUAUCCACUCGGAUUCUGUUGAGAGAUGGUCCGGAAUCCCUCCUACUUCGUGAUUCCAUUAAGUGAUGGUCCGGAAUCAUAUCCACUUGGAUUCUGUUGAGAGAUGGUCCGGAAUCCCUCCUACUUCGCGAUUCAGUUGAGUGAUGGUCCGGAGUCGUAUCCACUCGGAUUCUGUUGAGAGAUGGUCCGGAAUCAUUUCUACUUCGCGAUUUCGUUGAGUGAUGUUCCGGAAUCGUAUCUCAUUUGGGUUUCAUUUAGUGGUUGUUAUGCAUUGUACUCCGCGAUUCCGUUGAGUGAUGGUCCGGAAUCGUAUCCACUCAGAUUCUGUUGAGAGAUGGUCCGGAAUCCCUCCUGCUUCGUGAUUUCGUUGAGUGAUGGUCCAGGAUUGUAUUCACCUUGGGUUUUAUUAAGCUUGGAUUGAGAUAGCUUUAGAGAUGUAGGCUUCGGUCAAACUAUGUCACUCUAGCCUUGCAUUUCGAUGAGUGGUAUGUGAUAUUAAUGAUUAUGAUGGUUGGCAUUAUUGUUUGAUGUGAUUACGGAAUGAUGUUGGUUAUGGUUAUCGUAAUUAUGAUAUGCUUUGUGAUAUAUGGUUGAAGCAUAGCAAUUUAUGUGAUGAUUAUUCGAUUGUAGUGAAAUAGUGAACUACGAAUGGCUUGAUCCCUAUAGAGGGUAUGUAAGCAAUCUAACGAGGAGGUUAGAUGCAGCCAUAAAGUAAACAAAAAAUUACUUUGCAAUUUAAUUCUCGAGUUGUGAUUUGCCAUAUCCCGGAGGUGGGGUAUGUGAGAUAUACGAAUAUUUGAUGACGUCACGUGUCGAUUCUGAACGUAUAUCAGGAUUGGAGCAUGACACAUCUACUGUUUCUUGUGCUGAUCUUCUGUGUCCACAAUAUCUAGUUGAAUGGAAACUUGGAGGUCAUAACAAAAUAUAUGGUUUUUAUCACAAAUAGUUCUUAAAUUUGACUCACACCAUUAAAAUAGUUUCUGAAAUUAAAAAUCGAUCAAUGUAGUCAGUGAAAAUAGGUGUCACAAAUCAAUGUGGUCAUUCUGCCAUAACUCUGUCUAAAUUUCUGUUAUAUGUUGAUGUGGCACAUAAAUGGGUCUAACAAGAUUUAUAGGUUUUUUUUUAUCACAAAUGAUUCUUAAAAUUGACCCACACCAUCAAGAUGAUCCCUAAAAUUGAAAAUCGAUCAAUAUCCCUUAAAAUAGGUGUCACAAAUCAAAGUGGUCCUUCCAUAAUUCUGUAAAAAAAAUUGUUAUUUGUUGAUGUGGGUUUAAUAAUUUUUAAUUGUCAAAAUACCUUUUUGCACAAGGGAUUAUCCGAAGGCAGAGCUCACCGUUCUCUGCAUCACCAAGGUCAUUAAGAGAGCGUCCAACAAGCUCUCCAAGUUAAGGUUAUGAGGUUGUCGAUCAUCUGAAUAUUAAUGGUGAUGUCAUAGGAAUCAUUCUAAUCCAAGCCGUCACCAAAGGUGGUCUCCAUCCUGGGGUAAGGCUAGCCGACAUUCACCUCUCCCAGACUCUGCGUAAAGCGGGGGCCUUGUGCACUGGGUACGACCUUUUUUAAAAAGAGAUGAUGAAGGUUACCAUAGAUGGAGGUAGACGAGUGUGGGUGACAAACCGAGGUUAUAGCGAGACUGAGUUUUUGGUUGACAACUUUUUUAAUUAUUAAAUUAUUAAACCUAUUUCUAAUUUAUUUUUAAGUUAAUUAGACUUGUGGGACCCAUUUACAUGUCACAUCAACACAUAACAAAAUUUUUGAAAGAAUUGUGAUAGAAGUACCACUUUAAUUUGAGACACCUAUUCUAGGACUACAUUGAUUUGCAACACCUAUUUUCAGGGACUGCAUUGAUCGAUUUUCAAUCUCAUACUCUUUUGACGGUGUGAGUCAAUUUUAGGGACCAUUUGUGAUAAAAAUGACUUGUGGGACCCAUUUAUGUGUCACAUCAGCACAAACAUAAUUUUUUAUAGAAUUGUGAUAGAAAGACCACAUUGAUUAACGACACUUAUUUUCAGGGACUACAUUGAUCGAAUUUCAAUUUAAGGGACCAUUUUGAUGGUAUAGGUCAAUUUUAGAGACCAUUUGUGUAAAAACUGCAAUAUAUAUAUAUAUAUAUAUAUAUAUAUAUAUAUAUAUAUAUAUAUAUAUAAAUUUCUUGAAACCAGCACCAUCUUGUUAAUAAACCAGAGAAAGCUUAAUUCAUAAGAAACUCUUAAGAGAUGAGAGAUAGAUAUUGGACAGAGAAACUAGAGAGAGAAUUGUAAUAACUGUUUUAUGUUUUUCUCUAUUGAACAAUGAUACCUUGACAAUAAUUACAACUCAGUAUAUAUACUUUUACACCCACACAACUUCCUUAAGAUACUAUUGCUAACGUAAUGACACUUGUCAAAAUCUUGUCUACUUAUACACACUAUCAUCCCCCCUUAAACUCAUGCUGUGAACAACCAAGCAUGAGAUUUGAACAAUUAAAACUAAAUUGAGGAGAACAAAGCCCUUUUGUAAAGACAUAUUGAUCUGCAGAAUUAACAAACUGUAACAGAAUGGUGCCACGUUGAACUCUGUCACGCACAAAGUGACAAUCAAUUUCAAUAUGCUUGGACUUGGAGUGAAAAACAGGAUUUGUAGCAAGAGCCAUUUCUGAGAUGUUAUCACAGUGAAGCAAUGGUGUGUCAAGAACCGGCAUAUAGAGAUCCUGUAACAACUGUUGAAUCCAAACUAUCUUAGCAGUAGUAGUGGCCAUUGCCCUAUAUUCAGCCUCAGUAGAAGACCUGCUCAUUGUAUGUUGCUUCUUGGAGCUCCAUGAAAUUGGAUUAGACCCGAGAAAAAUAACAAACCCAGUAGUAGAACGACGAUCAUUAGGGUCAUCGGCCUAAUCGGCAUCUGUAUAGGCUCGUAAGUGAAGUGAACCAGGUCGAAAACAGAGCCCCAAGUGCAUAGAACCUUUACGAUAUCUUAAGAUGCGUUUCACAGCAGCUAAAUGAGACUCAAGAGGAGAGUGCACGAAUUGACAAACCUGAUUGACUGAGAAAGCAAUAUCAGGGGGAGUAAAAGUAAGAUAUUGCAAAGCUCCUACAAGACUUCUAUAGGAACCAGGAUCUGAAACUGGAGAACUACCAUGUGUAAGUAAUUUCUGAUUUGGGUGACAGGGAGUAAGACAUGGCUUGCAAUCCAACAUAUUUUCUUUUUGCAACAACGCCUUCACAUAUGUGGAUUGAUGAACAAAUAAUCCUUGAGAUUGAUACUCAAUCUGCAACCCAAGAAAAAAAUGUAAAAGUCCCAAAUCCUUCAUGUCAAACUCAAUAGUAAGUUGAGAAAUCACUGAUUGAAUAACAGCAUCACUAGUACUAGUAAGAAUGAUAUCAUCCACGUAAAGCAAAAGAAUCACAACUGAACUAUCAAUGGUCUUAACAAAUAAGGAAGGAUCGGCAUAAGAAGUAUUGAAACCCAACUGAAUAAGGAACUUGGUAAACCUGUCAUGCCAGGCACGAGGAGCCUCUUUCAAACCAUACAAAGAUCGUUUCAAUUUGCAAACAUAAUCUGGAUGAUCAUGGUCCACAAAACCUUGAGGUUGAGACAUAUAAACUUCUUCAUCAAGAAAGCCAUGAAGAAAAAGCAUUCUUGACAUCUAAUUAUUUUAACUUCCAACCAUGAGUAGCAACCAAGGACAAAACCAAUCGAACAGUGGUUGGUUUCACAACUGGACUAAAUGUCUCAUAAUAGUCCAAACCAGCUUCUUGAGAGAACCCUUUUACCACUAAUCGAGCCUUAUAUCGAGCAACAGAUCCAUCAGGAUGUUUCUUGAUCUUGUAAACCCACUUACAACCCACAAGAUUCUUGUGAGGAGGCAAAGGAACCAAACUCCAAGUAUGUUGUUGUAGAAGAGCAUUCAUCUCUUCCUUCAUGGCAACUUGCCAGUGAGAGAGCUUAGAAGCUACUUUAAAGGACUGGGGUUCAAUAAGAGAAGUAGACUCAGAGGUAACAUAAGCAUGAAAAACUCUCUUUUUGAAGAUACCAGACUUAGACCGAGUUUGCAUAGGAUGAGAAUUAAUAGUGACAGGUUGCAGAUCAGGAACCUGAGAUAUUGAAGUAUCAGGAUUGUCUUCUGAAAAAUACACUGAACAGUCCAGAGCAUUAUCUUCUUGUAUACUUAGUGAACCAACAGCUGCAGAACUAGAAGAGACAAGGCCACCACGUAUAGGAGAUAGUGAAGGACAAGACUGAGUAACGUUUGAGACACCAGGAACAAUAGGAUAGGGAAUGGGAAUGGAAAGAAGGUUGUUUUGACUAAAUGUAUUAGGGUGAACCACAGAUGAUAGUGAAUAUGGUAAAGAGAUAAAAGACUAAGAAAGUGAUGUAGGAGACUAAUUAACACCUGGAAAUUUGGUUUCAUCAAAAAUAACAUGUCUACAAACAAUGAGCUUGUUUUUCUGUUGGAACAAAACAAAUGUAUCCCUUAUACUGAGCAGCAUAUCCGAGAAAGAAACAUUCAGUGGUCUUAGAUUCUAAUUUAUUAGAUCUAUAAGGUUUCAUAGAUGGGUAACAAGCACUCCCAAAAAUCCUCAAAUGAUUUAGUGUAGGUGGUGAGUGAUAUAAAACCUCAAAAUGAGAUUGCAUAUGCAAAAGAAUACUCACCCCCCCCCCCAUCACUUUGUACAAUUUUAACUUUAGCAUAAAAAAAAUGAGAUACAAAAGCUAAGAAUUGAACAAACACAGUAAACACACCAGCUUUAUUCAUUAAUGGGAAAAUUCAUGUAUACCUUGUACACUCAUCUAUGAAUGACACAUAAUACCUAAACCCUUCUAAAGACACAUAAGAAGAUGGACCCCAUACAUCGGUAUGAAUUACUUCAAAUGGAACAACAGAUUUGGAAGCAAUAACAGGGAAAGGCAAUUUGGUAAACUUGCCUUGCAAGCAAGCAGUACAAGGUUUGGGUUUGAAUUACAAGAGAAAGGAAUUUUAGACCUACUUAAUGCUGCAUUAACCACUGGAUUAGCAGGGUGUCCUAACCUGCAAUGCCAAGGCUCAGUAGAUACUUUUUGUCCCAAAAAAGUUGCAUGAUGAAAAUGAAGAGGCUUGGGAGGUUUUAAAACUGCAGUUCUUGUAACUCAGCAGUUCUUGGUAAAGCAUUUGUCCUGUGGCCUUGUCCUGUAUACAAAUGGAAAAUUCAUCAACAAAACAUCGACACUUGUUAUCUCUACAUAAUUGAUUCAUAGAUAAUAAAUGAUGAGACAAUUGAGGAACAUGUAACACAAAUUUAAGUUGAAAUUGAUGAGAUGGAGUAGUUAAAGAAGUGUUACCAAUAUGAGCAAUAGCUAAACCUUUACCACCAGUUCCAGUAACAGUUUCAGAAGAACAAUAAGGAGCAGCCUCUUGAAGAUUGGUGAUAUCUGAAGUCAUAUGAUUAGUGGCUCCAGAAUCCACUAACCAAUAUUCUUGUUGAGGUGCAGAGGGAGAAGGAUUGAUCAUUGCAGGCAUAGCAAUAGGAGAAGAUUAUGAAGAGGCAUGAGGCAUCAUAACCUGUGAUGAAUACUGGUACUGGUGUAGAGACGGAAACUGUGGUGGAGAUAGAAACUGUUGUGGAGACGGAAACUGUUGUGGAGACUGAUACUGUUGAUGAGACUAAUACUGUUGCAGAGCAAUCAUGCCACAUGAGGAAUAGUAUGGAUGUGCCUGAGACUAACCAUUAUUUCUAUCAAAACAAGUAGCUGCAACAUGUCCAACCCUGUGACAGAUUUGACAUCCAUGUGUGAAAACAAUUGAGUGCCGAAUGUCCCUUUUUGUCACAGAUCUGGAAAAUUUGCAAUAGAUUAUAGGUAGUGGAGAAGUCUGUUGUUGACCAGAUGAUGGAUAGAAAAACUGAGAUCUAGAGUUACCAAAUUGUUGGGUGGAUUGAGAACCAGAAUAAAAUUUCUUCCCUUUUCCUUUGCCUUUGUAAUUGUUGCCGUGGAAAUUAUUGUAUGAAUCAAAGUUGCCAAACUGCUGAGUGGAUUAAGAAGCAUAUGCAACAGGUAUAGUGGGAAACUAAGGUUGAGAAUACCCUUGCAUGGGCAUUGGAGACAUAGGAGACAUUUAGGGCAUGGAAGACAACUAAGACAUUGAAGAUGGGGAAAAACCCUGUAGUGAUACAGAUGAUGACCCUGGAGAGAAAGGAGAUUGAACACCAGAGGUAGAACCAUGAUCAUAUAAUGAAGUAGAACCAGACCCUUAUGCAAGCAUAGUAGACAUGAUUGGUAUCUGUUGAGCAGCUUCAUUCAAGGUGGAUUCCUCAGCUUUAAGUUGAGAUCGAAGCUCUUUCAGAUUAACCAAACUUUCUCUACCCCUGAUAACAGUUUUGAUAGUAUUAUACUCGAAAGGAAGCCAAUUGAUCCCUAGAGUCCUUAAUUCGCUGCAAAUAUCUGGUUCUUUUUUAAUAUUCUGAAGAUCAAUCUUCAGUUGAACAAUAUUAGUUCUGGUUAUACUUGCAAAUCUUUCAUGCAGAGAUUCCCACAUCUGACGAGAACUAAUACAACCAAUGAUGCAAGACAAAGCAGAUGGUGACAAAGUGGCUGUGAUAAGAGUCAUUAAAGCCUUGCCAUGUAUCUUCCAGACUUUGUAGGCAUCAGAAAUGAUAGUAUCAUGCACAACCGUACCAUCUUCAGUAUCAGUACUAUCAAACUUCUCUGGACAAGCAAUGGAACCAUCAACAAACCCCAGAAUUCCAUUACCCUCAAAGAGUAAGUCCAUUUGAAAACUCCAUGUCACGUAAUUAGAAUCAUCUAGUUUAACAGUGGCCAUGUUACCAACACUCGAAAUCAGAGAUGAAAUUGGAGAUUGUGUGAGAGUUAAUUGUAAAGAAUUCACCAUGAUGAAUCGAACAAGAAGACAACUUCAGUGUGAACACCAAUCACAAUACUCCAAUAAUCAAGAACAACAAUGCUACAAGAGACACAAUCUCAAUACUCCAAAACAAAGCACAAUUUCCCAAAAUUAGGGUUUCAGAUCCAAAAAUGCCACAGAUGCAGAAAUUAACUACCAGAUUAUUGACGAAGAUCAAGAAUGCAACCGAGACACAGAAAGAUCACACAACACAGACUAGAAACAAAUCAAUCAACAACAAUUGGAUAGAAUGUACCAGAAAUUCCCAAAUUAGAGGAACGAAAAAUAGCAACAACAAUCAAGCGCGACGACAACCAACACCAUAAUGCAGCAACCACAACCAAAAUCCACAACCGACAUCGAGAAAUCAAGCGAAAGCACCAAGAUCGUCACUCGACAGCGGUAGCCACCGGUGAAGAUACCAUGUUAAUAAACCAGAGAAAGCUUAAUGCAUAAGCAACUCUUAAGAGAUGAGAGAGAGAUUAGACAGAGAAACUAGAAAGAGAAUUGUAAUAACUGUUUUCUGUUUUUCUCUAUUGAACAAUGAUACCUUGAGAAUAAUUACAACUCAGUAUAUAUACUUUUACACCCACACAACUUCCUUAAGAUAUUACUAAUGUAAUGACACUUGUCAAAAUCAUGUCUACUCAUACACACUACCACAUCUAACUUCCUCAUUCUUUUCUCAAGUGUGGUUUAGAUCGAGCUAGAUUCUCUUUUUAUGGUCGAUCGUGUAUUAGCUUUUAUUUUUAAUAUAGAAGGUAUCUCACCAGUCACCACACAUUGAUGAAAAACUAAUCAUCCUUUCUAUAGUCUUAAUAUCAGAUGAGGCGAUAGUGUACUUUUUGCUCAAGUCAAACGGUUGUCUGCAACUAGAAGCUCCCAAAAUUAAUUCGAACACUUGUCAUGAAUGUGAACUCUCAAUGAAAACACAUUGUUAGAGCCGUUUUCCAACCGUCAGAUAAGGAACCUGUGUAGACCAAAAACAAGCAGAUACCGUGAGUUCAAGCGUCGGGGGGUGUUUCCCGACAUUGAGGCUCCGAUGCUCAAGUCGGCAAGGUAGAGGAGAAAAUGGGCGUAGUAUGUUUCUGGGGUUCGGAGUGUCUAACAUUUCUUGAGGAGUCACCAAGCGUAUUUAUAGGCCUUGUAAAGUCAAUCCACAUCAUCUGACAUUCCCCUGAGUCGUCGGGGACAUUGGAGGCCAGCAAGGGGACUAGUAUGCCACGUCAAGGAAGUAAAAUUUAUCUCUUCCACAUCAUGGGCGGAAGGCGUAGCCACACCAGUAGGCAUAGUCUAACACUUGAUGUGGGCGAGAUGGUACUGCGCAGUCUAGGUAGGACAAUCUAGCACCUGAGUAAAGACGGCUGGCUAAGUCCGUACUCCGAAGUCGCCAGGAGUGCUUUGACCACGGAUACGGGAUUGAUUACUUUUGUUCACACCGGGAACCACCUGAUUAGAUCAUUCCCCCAUGUGGCAGUACUUGGCCUUCUCUUUUCGCCGAGUUAGUCCUGCAGAGUGAGCGUGCACUGCUAUCACUCUAGGGAGGUGGUAUUUUGGUUCUUACAAAUGUCAUCGCGGUUGAUCACUAGUGGCCAGCGCUCUAGCUUAGCUUCUCGUCAGAAUGACCCGGCGACAGAAUUGCCCAGCAACACCCAAGCGACCACUCCCAAAUCGACUGCCGACCCAGUACAUCUGAUGCAUCGGGGCGGAUGCUCCAACCUACCUACCCUGUUGACGCUGCGAUGCCGAUUCGGCAGCAGUGUACAUGGAGGGAGAUGAGAACUCCCAACCGGAAAGAAGACCAAAGUGCGAAUGAGAGAAAAAUUUCAAACCUUAGAGAACUCCCAGCAAUGAGCUGUCGAGAGAGAGAGAGAGAGAGCAGCUACUUCGAUUCAAACCUUAGAGAAUGAGAGUCUGAUUAUGGCUAAGAAAAACAUUGGACGGUCAAGAUUAAAUCUCAACUGGUCCAACUGUUAUCAAUUUUUAAAAUUUAAUUUAAGUAUAUCUAUAUAUUUAUAUUUUAACUUUCAAUUCAGUUUGGAAUGAAAUCCUACUUCUGUUAAUUAUAGUAUUUAUUUAAUGGUAUAAAAUUAUUAAAUUAAUAUUUUUCUUAUUGUAUAACAGAUUACCCAUGUAUAUAGCUAGAACGACUCAUAUCUUAACAGGUGCUUAUCGGAUUACCCUAUAAUGACUCAAUUCAUUAUCUAUCGACCCGAAACCUGUUAAUUUCUUGUCGGGAUAACGGAUCGUGUCAGAAAUUGACAAGCCUAUGUAGUGUGUAUAUAUAAUUAUUGGUUGAUAGUUCAUUACUUUAAUCACAAGCCUAAGAGCAUAAACUAAAACAUGAAAAGGAAAAAUGGAAUUUCAGAAAAAUAAAGAUUCCGGACUGUUGUACCAUCUUCCGCAACAGGGCCAAUUAAAAGGCUGUAACAACAUACUGUCACAAAAGAUACAUUAAAGUAGCGCUCAUGCAAAUGCUAAAGCAAACAGGGAAGAUAAUCUAAGCAUGCAAAAUUGUGGUUCAAGAAACAGGAGUAUAUGCACUUUGAAGGUUUACAUGUUGUAGUCGUCAAGUCCCAGAUCCCUCAAUGCAUCGGUAGCGGCUUCAUUACAACUUACAUGGUUUUGCUUGGCCAUCCUUAUGUGUUUCUCCAUACCGCUAUUGAGCAGAAUAGUUCUGUGAAGUGAAAAAUUGGAUAUCACAAGAGUUGGGUAUUAUGGAAAAACCACAGCAAAAAACAAUGCCAUGCAUGAUAUGAGAAAAAAGAUGUGACACUGAAAACGAAAAGACGGGAAGAGAAACUGUAACAGGGAGUGAGAUGGAUUUAUAACAAAAAGACUUGCCUGUUGGCUGCGUUUCUUGAGACAAGAUUCCGAAUCAUGAGACAGGAAUUCCUCUGCAUUUGCUGUGCCGCAGGGAACUUCUGCAUAGCUUGGAGGGCAAGUUCUCCAGCCCCAGCUUCAAUGGCAAUGGCUGCAUUGUCUGGGGACCUUAAGGAGAGUACAGAAAUAACAGCCAUAAUCUGAACCAUAACGGAAAGAAUCAAUGCGAAGAUUGAGCAAUAGAACAAAUGUCUGUAUCAACUGCAAAUCACAGUUAGAAUUAGCGGUUUGGGAAAUCAUUUCAACAUUAUGCUUUCGCAAGGAUCUCAUCACUGAAAAUAUUUUGUUCAGCAUUCUUCCUUAUUAAAAGUCAAACAAAGACACAACAUUUUCUUGCUAACAAGAAUGUUAACUCUGCCAUAUCAUUAAAGUCAUCCAAUCAACUUACAGUGACACUAUAAAAACCUAAAAUGCAACAGUUGAAAGAUCAGAUGAAUACAGAAUGCAACAGUUGAAGUAUUCAGAAAAAUACAGCUAACAUCUAGCGAUACUACCACAUAAACUGAGAAUUUCCCUUGAACAGAAACCUCAGCCCCAUAAUGUGUUCAAAAGUAUGCAAAUUCAAUGUGAAAGAAUUGUGGUUCCUUACCUCUUGAAGGACAGAAGGGUCAUCAAAAAAUCUAGAUGACAGUUUCAUUAGCCUAUCCAUACCCUUCUUCUCAACAAUGGCAUUCUUAUUUGCGUCACUUCCUGCCAACUAAAACACAAUAAUGCAUAAGAGGCACUAAAAUGCUUCACCAGAAAGUAACACCAAUAAUUUUCUAAGUAGCACGAGUAAAUGAUAACGAAUGUAUUUACUCACACGAAUUGUGGUUCAAGAGUUCUACAUAAAACCUUAGAAGAUAGAGUUGAAAUUUAAAACAUUCAAUUUUGGAUUCAAAAGCUAAAUAGUAAGCCAAUUCACAUACAAAUGAUAAGUGUGAUUUAGACCUUGCAGAGCAAAGAACAGCAAACUUUAGCAACAGUUUUGUUGCCUUGUUCACUACUGUCAUCAAUACAUAAGAGAACUGCAUCAAUUCCACCAUUUUCGGCAAUGGAUGUACAUAUUUCAUCCUGUGGAAAAUUGAAGACCAAUAAAUAACAGAAUUAGAACAAGAAAAUAUUCAGCGUACAAAAUACUACAUUAGUUGUUAGUAUAUUUCCAUAUCAUUCAGACACAUUUUCCAGUCAUAAGUCAAACCGAUAAAAGAACAAAAAGGACAUAUAGGGUGAAAAUAAUGAAUUGAUUAACUGAUCUUAUAACAAAGUCUAACACACAAGUCAGAAUGUUUCACACUGACUGAACAUUAAAACUAUGAAGGCCAAACAGUCAUUAUUAAAACAUCAACUCUUAAUUUGUAUCCCAUCAGAUUACAAAAGUCUUACAUUGACAGCGACAGCCUUUAAAGCAAUGCUUGCUGAAACAAGACUAGAUGAGCUAAGCCCCCCACGUACUGAUUCAACCAGAGCUCCAGCAAUUCCAAUUUUGGCAAAGUUCCGCGCAUAACCAUAAACCUGAAUUUUGCAUUCACAGUCAUGUUAUAAACACUUGAAUGAAAAGGUUCCAUAAAGAAGCUUCUGGAUAUCUAAUCAUCAACUAUCGCUCAAUUCAUUUAUGUUUAUUACAGUUCUACAUUUGAGACAAAAAAAUUAAAUUGCUGGAAUUUUGCAAUAAACCUCAACUUACUUGUGAAGCCAAAACACGAUUAUCAUCAGGUGUUAAGAGAACCCGUAUAGCAUCAUACAAACUCUCAAUGCUGACUUCCCUUUUUACACUCAAUACUUGCAGAAUAAGCUCAUCAAUCUUCAACUCCAUGAAUAACUCCUUUAUGACCUCAUUACUCGUUGCAGCCGCAGCAACGACAGAAAAACCACUACUCACUAUGUCAAUAUUCUCAAAUCCAUCAGUUAGAAUACCCACCAAAAUCUUUGGUCCACCACUUGCCCUAAAUGCUUCUCGACUUUGCAAAUCUACAAAUCAACAAAAAUCCAGAAAAUUAUACACAACUCAUGCAACGUUUUAGAAAGACUUCAUGAGAAACCAAAGAAGCAAGAUAGACUGUCCAUCAUACCAUGUAGCAAUGAAGCCAAUGCCCUCAACGCCAAAAAGACAGCGCGUAAGCACCCGAUCUCAAUCUUAGAACAUAUAGAACAAACUAUUUCAACCCCUCCAUUUCUAGAAGCUAUUGCUGCAUUCCCAGAACCUUCGGCUUUACAGAGCUCGGUAAGUUUAUCAAGUAAAUCCACAAUUUCAUCGCCAAUUUGACUGUUUGGACUAGAAUUCAACUGGCUCAAUCUAUCCAAGCACUGUAACACAGGAUUGUCUUUAACACUACCCUCUCCGGGGACGCAGGUCACGAUCCCUGCCAAACACAAGAACCAAAAUUUACAUAUCAAAACGAAACAAAUGCUGCAUUCAUCAAAUGGGUUCUGUUUGGUUUCCGAGAAAAUACGGGAAUACAAAUUGCAGCAAUCUCUCUGUUUUCUCUUACUUUUUCUACAAACGAAUCGCAUUGGGGGAUUUGGGGGUGUAAGAGAGAAGAGUACCGGAGAGAUCGACGCCCUGGAGAGUUAGGGUUUGGAUGGCGUCUUCGAGGGCCUCGGUGGGGUCCAUGCCGAGAUCUUCCAUGUUCUCCUUCACCACCUCGUCGAAGGCCUCCUGAGAGAUCGUACGGGCGGCGUUCUUCGGUGGGCCCAUCUCUGCAGUCUCCGGCACCGUCCGAUCGCACUGGGUUGUGGUGGUGCCUGGGAUGGAUGAUGGUAGUAGAGUUCUGGAGAGUUGAGAGUGGAGAGAGUGGGUGGCGAAAGGCAGCGCGCCGAUUUGAAAACGAGGGAUGGUCUGAGAUUUGAUUUGAGGGUUACUCGUCUGUCAUCAAACUCUGCACACAGCCAAUUAUGUCAUCCCACCUGUCACUAAAAUUAUUGGGUGUUUAAAUAAAUAUAAUUUUUACGUUCUCAUUUUCUUCUCUUUCAUUUUUUCUCUAGCCCUGUAAUUUUAUUUGGGGUGUGAUAUUCACACACCCCAUUUUACUUCUCAUACAUCUUUUUAAUUUUCGUCUGUUAAAUCGAAUGAAUUGAAGAAGAUCAACAGACAUAAAUUAUCAAGGGGUGUGUGAGAAGUAAAAUGGGAUGUGUGAAUCACACACCCCUUUUAUUUUUGUCAAACAAUAGAUAAAUACACACAAAACAAUUUGAUUGGGACUAGGGAUGGGCAACGGUUAUGGCGGGCGGGUAACGCGGUUAUUUACCCAUAACCAUUUAUGCUCAUACCCGCAUAACCGUUUACCCGUUAGGUAAUUACCUAAUCGGUUAUACUCAUACCCAUAACCGUUUAUAAACGGUUAACCAUACCCAUAACCGCAUACUCAUUUAAUCGUAACUGUUUAAUACCCGUUUACCCAUUUACCAUUUUUAACCCGUUUAUCUUCUUUAUUUUUACCAUUACCCCAUUUUCACCCGUCUACAUGAUUUUUAACAACUUGAAAAUUAAUAAAAAAAUGUCAUAAUUUUCUUUUUUUUUUGACAAUUAAACACCGUUAUAGGUAUAUUCAUCAUACAUUUCCGUAUUUUAAUUUUUUAAGUCCUUAUACCAUUCCAAUAAUUGAAAUAAUAGUUUACUGACGAUAUUUUUAACUGUUACUAAUGAAGGUAAAUAUAAUAUUUGUUAAGUAUUAUUGGGUUACAAAAAUUGUUUAUGAGACAUUUCUGUCAAUUUCACGAUUACCCGCAAGGAAUUUAAAUUAAUUUAGCGAAUUCCUUGAUGAUGAGAUCAUUCCUGUAGCAGUGUUAUUGAGAGAAGAAUCGAUGAAUUUCUUGCUAAUUUAUUGGGUGCUAAGUAUUAUUGGAUCGAGAACAUGGUUUGUGUUAGUUUUACAUAUAUAAAAUAAAUGGGUAAACGGUUACCCGUUUAUAAUCGCAGUUAAUACUCAUAACCGUCCAUUUAAAUUUCAUGGGUAAACGGUUAUACCCAUAACCAUUUAUUUAUCUAAACGGUUACCCAUAACCGUAACCGUUUAAUUUAAAUGAACGGGUAACCGCGGUUACCCAUAACGAAUGGGUAUUUGCCCAUCCUUAAUUGGGACACCAAAAAAAAAUGAUGAAUAAGGUAAUGGAUAUGAGUAGGCUGGAGAUUGAGCAAUCAAAUGUUACAUUCUGCUUUUAGUUUAAUUGUAAAUUCGUCAUUGCAAAUGACGUUUUACUACAAUAGCAGAAAACAAUCAUAUCUAUACACUCUGGUGUUAAUGACAAAAUUAAGAGAUUAUCCAUGUCAAAUUGAGUUCGGAUGAAGAAAAAUUGAGUGAGUUUUUAGGUGGGUGGAUGCUGGAAGCUUAAUGCAGGUUACUUAAACAUGGAUUUGUUAAUAUAGGGGGAUUUUGUGUUAACCGAAGAAAAUAUUGGAAAUUUUUUAAGUAACUAGAAUACAAUGAUUAUUUUAGUAGUAUGGUUUGAAUUCGUUUGUUGGGGCUUCAAAAGAGAGAGGAUAUGUAUUUUGGCCCUGGAACCAAAAUGUAAAUUGUGUCUAAAUCAUUUCGUCAUGAAAAAGAUCUGGAUUGUGACUGAAAACCUCAUAACUAAUUGAUUUAAUCACAAGAAAGCACAUUGAUUGACUAAAAAUGUAUUAGUCACAACAUACGUUGUUACUGGAAAAUUAAACCAAAUUCUAACUUUCAGUCAUAACAUCCUUUUAGUUAUAACAUAGUAAUCAUGUGUCAUCCCUUAUAAGGACUAAUAAGCAUUUAGUCACAACCACUCUUCAUGAUUAAAAAAUCUUAGUGAUAACAACUAUAACUAAAACCCUAUUAGUAACAACUAACGACUUUAACUAAAGUCUAUUGAUCACAACUUGAAGGAGUAGUGUUUAAUCGAGAGCCGGGGUUCGCAACUAUCUAAAGUAAGAAACAUGCCACAACAAGCAGAAGUAGUAAAUUGAUAAAAACUCCUUCACAUAUACAAUUAAUUGAAUAGCCAUGGCAUUAAAAUCAAUCGUUCACCUUGUAAUUUAUAAGAACAAGCACAUCCAGUAGAACAAAGAUAACGAAUAUUAGCCACUUAGUACUACGGUAUAGUGGUAUUUAUCUUCACUUUUAAGUGAAAUGUAUUAAAUUCAAUUAUAACCAAAAAUGAAUUUGAGCUGAUGUGGUAGAUAAAUGGGCCUCAUAAGUCAUUUUUUUUCUUCUUACAAAUGGUCCUUGAAAUUGACCUAGGACAUCAAAACUGUUCCUGAAAUUGACCCACGACAUCAAAAUGGUCUCUGAGUGGUAUUCCUCUUCACUUUUAAGUGAAAUGUAUUAAAUUCAAUUAUAGCCAAAAACGAAUUUGAGCUGAUGUGGUAAAUGGGCCUCAUAAGUCACUUUUUUUCUUCUUACAAAUGGUCCUGGAAAUUGACCUAGGACAUCAAAACUGUUCCUGAAAUUGACCCACGACAUCAAAAUGGUCUCUGAAAUUGAAAAUUGAUCAAUGUAGUCUUGCAAGUGUCUUAAAUCAAUGUAGUCCUUCAGUCACAAUUUUGUCAAAAAAUUUGUAUGUGUUGAUGUGACACAUAAACGAGUCAUACAAAUCUAAUUAAAUUUAAAAAAUUACAAAUAUACUUAAUAAUUUAAUAGUUAAUAAAAAAGUUGUCAACCCAAAAACCCAGUCCUGCAAUCACCUCUGAUCCCAAUCCACAUUUCUCUACCUCAUUAACUAUCUAUUCUCUAAAAAAAAAAUCUCAAUAUACCCAUCUUUACACACUUCGACACAUUUCACCGAAUUGAACCUGGAUCGAGAUCACCUUUAGUGACGGCUUGACCAAUUGGCAACGACUUCUAGGACAUCACCAUUAACAUUUAGGUGAUCAACAUCCUUACAACCUUAAUCUUAGAGAGCUUGUUCGGCGUUUCCCUGGUGGUAUGAUGAUGCAAAGAACAGCGAGGUCUGCCUUAAGAUAAUGAGGUUAUACCCGAGGUGCGUCUAUUGUUAGUUGAAAACUAUUUCCACACUCUCUCUUACCUUUGAGAAUUUAUGGAAGGGAUCUCUCUUCGGAGUAAGCCUUACUAUAAGAAACAAAGAUUUCAUUGUGCAAAAAGGUAUUUAGACAACUAUUUUAAUUAAUUAUUAAACCCACAUUAGCACAUAACAAAUUUUUUUACAAAAUUGUGCGAAAAUAUCAUAUUGAUUUGCGACAUCUAUUUUCAAGGAUUACAUUGAUCAAUUUUUAGUUUUAGGGACCAUCUUGAUAGUUUGGCUCAAUUUUAGGGACCAUCUUGAUAGUGUGGCUCAAUUUUAGGGACCAUCUUGUUGGUGUGGGUCAAUUUCAGGGACCAUUUGUGAUAAAAACCCGUAAAUCUUUUGGGGUCCAUUUAUGUGUCGCAUCAGCACUAAACUGAAUUUUUAACAUAAUUGUGACGGAAGAACCACAUUGAUUUGUGACACCUAUUUUUAGGAACUAUAUUGAUUGAUUUUUAAUUUCAGGGACCAUCUUAAUGGUGAGGGUCAAUUUCAAGAACUAUUUGUAAUAAAAACCCAUGUUAUAAUGCACACAUGAUAAAACAAGUUGAUGUCCGCGAUCCUUUUUUUUUGCCUUUUGAAGGUCAGUUUGACUAAACAAGUAAUGUUCAAAAUUCUGAUGCAACUUGUUGUUUCGUUGGUUGUUUUUAAACCUGACAUUCGUGUCGUGUUUCUCGUGUUCGUGUCAUUUUCGUGUCAUAUACGAUAACUUAACCGGUCAUGUCAUGUAACACUCAUUAAAGUAAACGGGUAAUAUGACUUGACCUGAAAUCGACCCGCUAAUAUUUUCAGGUAAUAUGACCUGACCUAUUACCCGUUAAGAAAAAUAUAUUUUAAAUCAAUAAAUAAUGAAAAUGAAAAACAUAAUUUGACCCAAAAAAAUGUAAAACAUAAUAUUAAAUUAGUAUAUACAUACUAAAUUUCGGAGUUGACCCUUUCACGAAAGUUGUAAAGCUUGUCAUUACAAGUGAUAUUAUAUAUAUAUAUAUAUAUUACAUUUUUCACGCUUCUAAAAUAAUUAUUAUUAAUUUUAUUAAUUUUGUACUCAAAUAAAAAACACUAUUCAUGAGAUUUGGAGGGUUUUAAAAAUCUAAACGACCAUGUAACCAUCGUCUAAGCGUAGAGGAUGCAAUUACGAGCGUUUAUAUAUGCUUUCACAUUUUUUUGACUUAUACAUUAAUGAUUAUGAAUUUUAUUUAUUUUGAACUCCCUUAAAAAUACUAUUUAUGAGGGUUUGUAUGGUUUUAAAAUCAAACGAUAAUGUACCCAACCUCAAAACGUAGAUGAUGCGAUUACGAGCAUUUGCAUAUUUUUUUCACAUUAUUUUACACUUGUAAAUUAAUUAUUAUAAUUUUUUUAAUGUGUUUGGUAUUUUUUAAUUGCUUGAUAUUUUUAUUUUUAAUGUGUUUUUUAAUUUUUUUAAUAUCACUAUUUGCCUACAAUAUACUAUAACAAUAAAUAAAUAAAUAAAUAAAACUUAAAAUUUUAAAAUUUAUUUAGAAUAAUAAUACAAUAAUAAUUAAUAAACAAUAUAUAUGUAUCCAUUUAUCUAUUGACACACCCCGUCCCGAAGGAGGGCAUGCUGGCCGUCACGUGAGAGUAACAUAACCAUUUAAACAGUUCGAAAGCUUUAAAGAUACAAUUACUAAGAUGUAACACCCGGGGGUGAGUCCUACUUUUGUGAAUUCUGUCAGAACACCGUGGGAAUCCUCGUGAGCCACCAACACUGCUAACUAAAACCUGGAGGGGCGCAAAACAAGAUUGAGUGGGUCAGUAAAACAACGCUUUUAAAAAAUAUUUCAGUUAAUAACAUUUCUAACCCCUCGCUGUAAAACAUGUAUACUUUCCCAGAAAAAUAGUAUAUAAUAUGCAUAUAAAUCUUCAAAUAUCUCAAUUGUAUUUUAUAGUAAGUUUUUUUAGUAGUUUAAAAAAUUAAAAUCAUCAAAAUAAUUUUUUCCUUAUUGUGUCGAAACAGGUUACCCGCAUCACUCUCGUGUAAGCCUGUUAAGGACCCGUUAUUAACGAGUUCUUAUCAUGUGGCCCGGUAACAACCCAAUUAGUUAUCGUGUUGACCUGAAAUCCAUAAUUUUUGUGUCAUUUUCAUGCCGUGUAAGAAAUUGUCAGGUCUGGUUGUUUUAUGCGCAAAGUCUUUAUUGUAGCAAUCUUUCUUUUGUAGUUCCCCUUCGAAGUCGGCAUUGCUUGUAUGCAAAGAGUGUUCCCCAGUUUUGUUGGCAGUUUUGUGCGCAUAUUCUCCCAUGCUGUUAUGAAGUGAUUGAAUUUUUAGUUGAUGGGAUUGAAGGUCUUAUGGAUUUGGUAGCUAUUAAAUGGGCCAAAUUGACCUGGUCUUUUCUUUGUUUUUUUUGUUUUGGAGUCCUUUUUGUAUGAAAAGCCCUUAAAUUUAAUCCAAAAUGCUCAUUUGAAGUUUGUACAUUUUAUUAAGAUGUUAAUGAAACCGCUAUUGUUUCACCUCAAAACUUCAUCUCAGCAUGUAAAGAGAUGGUUCCUUAUAUGUAGAAAGAUUCCUCCUAGUUAUGCUAUGAUUUUGUAUAUAAUUUGUGGAUGUCAUCAGUAUGUCAACAUACGUAUGACAUAACCAUGAUGAAAGUUUCCACAACUUUUAGGCGGCAAUUCUUACUAGUUUCCCCCACUCGAGUAGUUCGGUUAAAAUCGCAAUGCCCCAAAAUUUGCAUUGACAAUUUGACAUUGAUUUUUCUAUUUCAAACAGCUUUCAAACUCAAAAGAAAAUGGUUGACCCUGUUUUCGGUUGAGAGGAGAGUAUCCGUCCAAUCUGAAUCGACCCAUUGACUCCCUUAUCAAUCUUUUUGGAAGGGUAUCGAUCUUUGUUGCUUCAUUUUUUUGGGAGGAAUUAAUGUUUAUGAAUUUGUUAGGUGUUCGCUUCCAUAUUAUUAAUUCAUAAGUUCAUUAGGAAACUAGAGAAGCCACGUACUUAACGAAUCAAACUUUAUAUUUUUGGCUUUUUUUAUCAUAAACGGACUUUGAAUUUGACUCACAUUGUUAAAAUUGUCACUGAAAUUGAAAAUAAUCAAUAUAGUCCCUGAAAAUAGGUGUUACAAAUUAAUAUGGUCAUUUUGUCACAAUUAUGUCAAAGUUCUGUUAUGUAUUGGUGUAGCACAUAAAUACCUUGAAAUUGAAAAUCGAUCAAUAUAGUCCCUAAAAAUUGUGUCGCAAAUCAAUUUAGUCAUUCCGUCACAAUUAUGUCAAAAAUAAUAUUAUGUGAUGAUCUGAGUAAUAAUGAAUUUAAAAAUUUGUCCAAAUACCUUUUUGCACAGUGAGAUUAUCUCAAGGCAGAGCUCGUUGUUCUCCGUGUCACCAAGAUCAUUGGAGGAGCUCUAGGUUUUGAGACUAUUGAUCGCCUAAAUGUUGAUGGUGCUGUCACAAAAGUCGUAGCCAAUCCAAGCCGUCACUGAAGGUGGUCUUGAUCCUGGUGCAAUUGGAUGAAAGGUGUAACGAUGGGUGUCUUAAGAAUUUAUUUUUUCAGAGAAACGAAGGUGAAGGCUACCAUAGAUGGAGGUAGAUGAGUGUGAGUUGGGAUAGGAGGUGAUAACUUUUUUAAUUAAUUAUUAAAUUAUUAAAUCUAUUUCUAAUUUAUUUUUAAUUUAAUUAGACUUGCUGAACCCAUUUUUGUGCCACAUAGAACAUAACAAUUUUUUUUACAAAAUUGCGAAGGAAGGACCAUUAUGAUGUGAGACACCUAUUUCUAAGGCUUCAUUGAUUAAUUUUCAAUUUCAGGGACCAUCUUGAUGGUGUAGAUCAAUUUUAGGGGCAUUUAUGAUAAUAAUUUAUUAUUAUAAUAUAUAGAAACCAAAGAAAAAUAACUAACCGACCACUAGGUGGAUUUUGAGAUCAAUUUGAAACAUGUUGAAAAAUUACUAUUUUAUUCUUAUUAUAUUUAAUUGUUUUGUUUUGAAACUCUAAUCGGAAGAAGAGUAUGAUAUUGUGAAGCUUUUAGGGUGUUUAACUUAAUAUAUAGUGAAGCACGGGUGUUAACUUAAUAUAUAUAGAAAUUCAAUUUCAUAUUUUGCAUUCACUUUCUGUUUUUCUAAUUUUUCUCACUUAUUCAACCAUUUACUAACUAGUGCUGUUAUUUCCACUCCAGUGUCUUAUUUCUUCACCCACUUUUUAAUGAAAAUUUUAAUUACAAGUUGACUCAUUUGUAAAAUGAUCAAUAAAGACAAAGAUAGCCUUCUAUUCACAAACAAUUAUCUACCCUUAAACCCUAACUCACCUAAUAAAAUCCCAGUGCAACUUUAGCUUGAAAUCGUUUCGAUUCCGCACAUUUUCUACAUUUUUGCAUAUUAAUUCUCCUAAAAAUCUUGAAGACGAAGAUGAACCCAAAAACCAGGUAACCAUAGUUUGAUUCUUCUCUGCUUUCUCCGGCCACUGUGCGGUUCAAAUUUAAUGUUUUUGUUGUGGUUGGAUGUUUCAACAAUGGAUAUCAGCAUGAAUUGAUAUGUAAUGUGGACUUGCUGCAUAUGUAUAGAGAUGCAAAUAUUUCUAUACACAAGUGUGGAAGAAGAACUGAGGAAGGGUAGUCUUCUGUAAAGUGUAUUGAGUUUGAUUAGUAGAAAAAAAAAAUGGUGCAAAGUCUAUCACUGAGUGCUCUAAAAUUAUUUCACCACUGGUGCAAUAAUUUUAGAGACAAGCUCAGAGUGGAGAGAGAGUGCUAAUGAGAAUAUUUUAGGAAUAAAAGUGGGUGAGAAAAUAGCAUUUUAAUUUUGUAACUUUUUAUGGUGGGUGGGAUUAUAAUAUGAGCAGAGAAAUAAGACAAUGGAGUGGGUCUAGUAGCUCUCUUAAUAACUUCCUCCUAAGUACAUGCAUAGAGGAGUGGAGGUUGCUAGUAAUACCACCGAUACGCUUGAUAUAGACAGCUUUAGGUCCCUUAUAUAGAGAGACAAAAUCAGAAGGAAGCACAUCACAUACGAGUCCUCAAUUUGUUGCUAAUACUUUUGUUAAAACUGGAGGCUUAGCAAACUUAUGUUUAGCCUAGUUAGUUAAGAGUAGUGUGAUCUCCCUUUUACACCCAAAUUCAAAUUCUCUUUCCGUAGUUCAGACAAGAUUAAUUCAAAUACCACUCAAAUCAAUAAGAAAAACAAUAUGGAUAUUUCUAAUCCACAUCACAAUUAAUUUGAUUCUUUAACUCUGGUGAUUAGGAAACACAAAUCUCAUUCUUGACAUAGCAAAGACAUUAAGCAUG